rnacentral:rRNA from 1 species
UCUCAAACCAGGUGCGGUCGCGGCCCCCGGGGGCUUGCUCCCGGGUGGUAGGGGUAACACCCUCACGCGCCGCCUGCCUGUACCCUCUUUUUACGAGCACCUUUCGUUCUCCUUCGGCGGGGCAACCUGCCGCUGGAACCAAAACAAAACCUUUUUUGCAUCUAGCAUUACCUGUUCUGAUACAAAUAAUCGUUACAACUUUCAACAAUGGAUCUCUUGGCUCUGGCAUCGAUGAAGAACGCAGCGAAAUGCGAUAAGUAGUGUGAAUUGCAGAAUUCAGUGAAUCAUCGAAUCUUUGAACGCACAUUGCGCCCCUUGGUAUUCCAUGGGGCAUGCCUGUUCGAGCGUCAUCUACACCCUCAAGCUCUGCUUGGUGUUGGGCGUCUGUCCCGCCUCUGCGCGCGGACUCGCCCCAAAUUCAUUGGCAGCGGUCUUUGCCUCCUCUCGCGCAGCACAAUUGCGUCUGCGGGGGGGCGUGGCCCGCGUCCACGAAGCAACAUUACCGUCUUUGACCUCGGAUCAGGUAGGGAUAC